rnacentral:misc_RNA from 1 species
UCGAAUAAAUCUGGCGUAGGUUGUAGCUGGCUCUCCGGAGCAUGUGCACGCCUCGUCACCUUUAUCUUUCCACCUGUGCACACACUGUAGACCUGGAUACCUCUCGCUGAAAAAGCGGAUGCGGAGGCUGCUGCUGCCUUUUCUUUGAAAGGCUCGGCUUCCUCUGAAUUUCCAGGUCUAUGCCUUUUUUAACACACCCCAAACGAAUGUUAUAGAAUGUAGUCAUCGGGCCUUUGUGCCUAUAAAACUAAUA